GGGGCGGUAGCUCAGUUGGUUAGAGCAGGGGACUCAUAAUCCCUUGGUCGCGGGUUCAAGUCCUGCCCGCCCCA
rnacentral:tRNA from 2 species